rnacentral:rRNA from 1 species
AAACAUGUCUUUUUGAAUUAUAUAUAAAGUCUGACCUGCCCACUGAAUAAUUUUAAAUGGCCGCAGUAUUUUGACUGUGCAAAGGUAGCAUAAUCAUUAGUUUUUUAAUUGGAGGCUGGUAUGAACGGUUGGACGAAGUAUAAGCUGUUUCAUAUAAAUUUAUAAUAGAAUUUUAUAUUUUAGUUAAAAAGCUAAAAUUGUAUUAAAAGACGAGAAGACCCUAUAAAUCUUUAUAAUUAAAUCUUACUAAAUUUUUUUGAUUUAUUUUAUUUUUAAAUAUUAAAUUAUUUUGUUGGGGUGAUGUUAAAAUUUAAUAAACUUUUAAUUUUUUAAAUCAUUAAUUUAUGAAUUAUUGAUCCAUUAAUAGUGAUUAUAAGAUUAAGUUACUUUAGGGAUAACAGCGUAAUUUUUUUUGAGAGUUCUAAUCGACAAAAAAGGUUGCGACCUCGAUGUUGGAUUAAGGUAUAAUUUUGGGUGUAGCUGUUCAAAAAUUAAGUCUGUUCGACUUUUAAAUCCUUACAUGAUC